AUACGGAGGGAGCAAGCGUUAUUCGGAAUCACUGGGCGUAAAGGACGCGUAGGCGGGUUUGUAAGUCAGGUGUGAAAUCCUACAGCUCAACUGUAGAACUGCACUUGAAACUACAGACCUAGAGUAUGGAAGGGGCAGAUGGAAUUAGUGGUGUAGGGGUAAAAUCCGUAGAUACCACUAGGAAUACCGAAAGCGAAGGCGAUCUGCUGGGACAUUACUGACGCUGAGGCGUGAAAGCGUGGGGAGCAAACAGGAUUAGAAACCCCAGUAGUCC
rnacentral:rRNA from 1 species